UACGAAGGGGGCUAGCGUUGCUCGGAAUCACUGGGCGUAAAGGGUGCGUAGGCGGGUCUUUCAGACAGAGGGUGAAAUCCUGGAGCUCAACUCCAGAACUGCCUUUGAUACUGGCCAUCUAGAGAUCGGAAGAGGUGAGUGGAAUUCCCAGUGUAGAGGUGAAAUUCGUAGAUAUUGGGAAGAACACCAGUGGCGAAGGCGGCUCACUGGUCCGAUACUGACGCUGAGGUGCGAAAGCGUGGGGAGCAAACAGG
rnacentral:rRNA from 1 species